GCUGCUUUUCAGACACGGUCCAUCACUCCGUCUGUUGGCGUAGCUUUUUGUCUGGCACGCGCCGCUCGUCUUCCGGAUUCCAUCCCCUCCUAAUUUCUCCUGCCCUCUUUCCUCGCCUCCUUCGCCAAAUCGCCAGGCGAUUUCUCUCGGGCGCGGCGGUGGGGUGCGGGGAGCAUCAGCGCGGGAUUUCUACGCGAGGACGCAGCGUGGGCGAGGCAGAGCGUUGCGCUGAACGCGAAGCCCUUCGGGAGAGGCGCGCGGCGCGAGCUUCCAGGAGCAGCGGCCGAGGGUUUUCUGCGCGGCGACGAAGCACCGGCCCGAAGGUGCUCAAGACGAACCUGAACUUCAGAAGACGAACCUGAACCUGAAGCAGCUCGGAGAGGCGGGUUGCAGCAGCAGCUCAGAGAGGCAGGUUGCAGCAGCAGCUCGAAGCGGUAGGAAGCAGCAGCAACAACAGCUCAGAUGGGCUAAAUGAUCAGAAGUACGCGAGAGGCACAUGUCGUCGGGCUACCACGAGCGGCGGCCAUGGUCGGCUGGCGUCGUUUUUCUACGCGGCGAUGAAGGGCGAGCACACCGCCACACGCCCGGGACCACC